rnacentral:rRNA from 1 species
UACCCGCAGCCCAAGUGGUGGUCGAUUUUAUUGAGUCUAAAACGUUCGUAGCCGGUUCAUUAAAUCCUUGGGUAAAUCGGAUGGCUUAACUAUCCGAAUUCCGGGGAGACUGGUGAACUUGGGACCGGGAGAGGCAAGAGGUACUUUUGGGGUAGGGGUAAAAUCCUGUAAUCCUAAAAGGACCACCGGUGGCGAAGGCGUCUUGCUAGAACGGAUCCGACGGUGAGGGACGAAGCCCUGGGUCGCAAAC